rnacentral:rRNA from 1 species
GACGAACGCUGGCGGCGUGCCUAAUACAUGCAAGUUGAGCGCUGAAGGUUGGUCCUUGUACCAACUGGAUGAGCAGCGAACGGGUGAGUAACGCGUGGGGAAUCUGCCUUUGAGCGGGGGACAACAUUUGGAAACGAAUGCUAAUACCGCAUAAAAACUUUAAACACAAGUUUUAAGUUUGAAAGAUGCAAUUGCAUCACUCAAAGAUGAUCCCGCGUUGUAUUAGCUAGUUGGUGAGGUAAAGGCUCACCAAGGCGAUGAUACAUAGCAGACCUGAGAGGGUGAUCGGCCACAUUGGGACUGAGACACGGCCCAAACUCCUACGGGAAGCAGCAGUAGGGAAUCUUCGGCAAUGGACGAAAGUCUGACCGAGCAACGCCGCGGGAGUGAAGAAGGUUGUCGGAUCGUAAAACUCUGUUGGUAGAGAAGAACGUUGGUGAGAGUGGAAAGCUCAUCAAGUGACGGUAACUACACAGAAAGGGACGGCUAACUACGUG